rnacentral:rRNA from 1 species
GACGAACGCUGGCGGCGUGCCUAACACAUGCAAGUCGAACGGAGUUAAGACUUCGGUUUUAACUUAGUGGCGAACGGGUGAGUAACGCGUGAGAAACCUGCCUUUCAGUGGGGGACAACAGUUGGAAACGACUGCUAAUACCGCAUAAUGUAUCUGGACCGCAUGAUCCGGAUACCAAAGCUUUAUGUGCUGAAAGAUGGUCUCGCGUCUGAUUAGCUAGUUGGUGAGGUAACGGCUCACCAAGGCGACGAUCAGUAGCCGGUCUGAGAGGAUGAACGGCCACAUUGGGACUGAGAUACGGCCCAGACUCCUACGGGAGGCAGCAGUGGGGAAUAUUGGGCAAUGGGGGAAACCCUGACCCAGCAACGCCGCGUGAAGGAAGAAGGCCUUCGGGUUGUAAACUUCUUUUACCAGGGACGAAGAAUGUGACGGUACCUGGAGAAAAAGCAACGGCUAACUACGUGCCAGCCGCCGCAGUAAAAC